GUGAAUAGAAAAUAAAUAUGAGGACAGUUCGGAGUACAAUUAGGGCUUCGCCCCACCCAGCUGCAGCUGCUCCCAGCUGAGAUCCAUAAAUUCUGGGGGAAGAGCAAAUUACGGACAAACACCAGUUAUGCCAACACACGAAGGGAAAGGAAUCUCCGGUGCUGCUGCCCUGGGAGGAGGGAGCUUUCCCCCAUGGACACCCACGGCAGCAAGCUCAAACCUUCCCUGGGCAUGGACUCAGACCUCAAGAUCCAACCCAACAACGUUUUUUGUUCAGUGGCUGAGAUCGGCUUGCACACGAGUCACGAUUUUCCCAUUUCCCCAGCUUAGCAGUUAAUUUUGGCAGGAUUUCUGCAAACCGGAUUGCAGGGUCUUGGGAUAACGGGCCUCAGAGUCACAGUCAGGGAAGAAGUCUUGUGUCUGACGAGCGAGGACAGUGCUCGACUCUGAGGGCCAGUGACUGACUUAGAUGGAAAAUUUCACUGCGCAGCCUCAAUAUCCUCAAGUCAAGCUCCAGUUGCAAGAGCCAAGCACAAGGAAACAGAUAAACAGGUACAGAUACACAAGGAUUAUCCAACCGCCUGUGAAUUUCUUGUGGAAGAUAACAGCACAUACAAAUAAGCUUUCUAUUCCCAGGAGUGUUUUCAAAUUAAUUGGAAAUAGAUAAAAAUCAACAUCCUGCGCUCUGCCGCAGUGAUUUCUUCACACAAAAUCCAUUAUUUGUGGGAGGAAAAAAAAACUAAGGAAACCGUGGUGUGAAGUGAACUUCCUUUUUCCACUGUGCUCAUACGCAGUCAGUGAAUAGCUCCCAAGUUUACAGAGCGGCUCACAGAACUCUCAAAGGCCCGUCGGAGGCAAUACGGGCUUUUCUUCAUCUGUAUUUCAGAGACAAAAGCGCCCGCUGUCACUUCAGCAGACGGCAUUUUCCUUUUAAACCAAGACACGUAUGCGAACAGCACUGGUUUUCUAGGAAGCACACCCCAAGAUCACCCCGAUAGGAAUCAUCAUCUCUGGUAAGGGAAAGCGUGGUGCAGGAACCCCCGGGGUUCCUGUUUGGGGCACGUUACCCGACUGCAAUCUAUUUCUGUUCCAGCCCGUGGUUUGACAUGAAAUUUAUUCCGUCUAUAUUACAGUAACUGGUUCUAAAAGUUUUUUUUAUUCCUCAUUAUUUGCUUCUUUCUCUAGAAAGAGAGAAGAGGGAUAAGGGGAAUAAAUAAGGGGGAGGCCAGAAGAAGGGAGCUGGCCGGGCGGUGGGAGAGCCGACCUGGGUUCCUGCUUUGCCCCAGCCCCUGGUGAGCUGCGGCGAGCCACCGGGACCGGACUCACAGCAGGACCCCGGCUCCUCUCCUGCCAUCUGCACGUGUCCCAGCCAAACCCCGAAGUGCCUCGUAUCCCAGGCCUUCUCUAGCAAAAUUUGCCAGCUGAUGGAGCCCUGCUGUCAGAUAUUCUCUGUAGCGCUUUGUUUUCUUCCUGAUGUGACGACACGCGAGCUUCUACGCAGAUCUGUACCCAAGAGUUUAACCCGAAGCAAAGCGAGUGGCAGGGUCCCUGUGUAACGGUGACAGCAGAACUUGCUGAUGCUCCCUCGUAAUGCAGCGACUUCACAGGUGGAGUACAUGUUAAGGAGAUUUGGGUACAAUGCAAGUCUCCUUAAAAUGGUUCGGGCUUACCCCUGAGGUGAGCGAGGCUGUGACCUGGCAUCAGGCUUCCUGAACUCACCUUAUGCUGCAAGCCACGAAGAGCCCAGAAGAGCCACGAUCUAAAAGCAAGGGCACCCCGCAGAGACCCCCAGGCUAGGGAAGGAACCAACGCCAGCGAGCCUGAGACAGGCAAGUGCCUUGUUCCCAUCCCUUCCCAGCUGCAUUUAAAAAGGAAGUGGGGACUCUGCCCUGGUUUUUAAGGGAAAAGGCUUUCCUCAGAGUGUCACUCCGCAAGGCACCAAAGCGCUUGGCCCAGCUUUACAAAAGCAGACCCUGCACAGCUGCCACAGCUCCUGCUCGGCAGCACAGCCCCUCCCCGACACGCGCUGCCAGCCCUCGCAGGGCCACGCGCUGCCCCUCCAGCGGUGCCAGCACCACGUCCACAGCCUUCUGUGGGAUAGGGAGGGACAAAUCCAGCGAAAAACGUAAUCCCAAAGGCCGCUCAGCACCAGUGAGAACGGGGAAACUGUUUAUGGCAGUGCUUCUGCUGGGAAGACGCACAAGGCCCACCGAAGUUAGCAGGGUCGACCUCCUCCUGCGUGAGCCCGAGUGAGGGAGCCCCUCAGGGACGCCAGGAUUUCCAGGAACGUGGCUGCCCUCCUCUCCUCCCAUUGUGGAGCUGUGAGUGGAGGUGAGAGCAGGGCUGAGGGGAAGCGAUUCCCUGCAGCUCUCACGCAGCCCCACCCACAGCAGACAGGGAAAGGCCCCGGUUUAGGUCCCGCCGCACACAGAGCAGACAGACGUUGACUUCGAUGCGACCCCGUCCGCAGGCGAGGCUCAGCCACACACGGGCAGAACCACAGAGGCUCCGGGGGAAGCACGAGGACACGCGUUCAGGGCACGAGCCCGUUCCUCCGACUGCCGCCUGCUCAAACCGGCCUCGCAUAAAGGACCGGGGCUGCAGACGACAGCACGACAUCAGCUGGCCCGGGAUAAAAAAGAACCAGCUCCCUGAGCUCCACCGUGGCUGCCUGGGGACACAAUGGCUCUGGGUCUGCAAAGGGAGUGAGCAGGGAGCUCACUGCCAGGGUGGGUACCAUUGGAAAACAAAUCCAUGUCCUGCCUGUCUUGAAACUUGUCUCCAGUACUGCAGGGUGAGAUUACUGUACUCAGCUUGGUGUCACCUGGACAGGUUUCCCACGCCAAGCCCUCUUCCCAAGCUCUGUUCCCACUCUGAGUGCACAGGAUGGAGGAUGCUCAGCAGCAUGGGAAGUGCUCGUGAGGGCUCCAAACCCAGCGCACGCAUAGGAGACAAAUCCAAAUUUUUCCCUGGCUCACUUAAGCGCAUGCCUGGUUUGAAGUGAAUAAAUAACACCUGAAAACCUCUACUGUUUAGCCUUGUUUCCAAACAGCGUGCUGGAUCGUGGUGUCUAUUAGAGCUUGGUCCUGAGCCAGCUGAACAAUUAAAGGCUAGUCCAUGACUUUGAGGGGUUUGCUUCCAGCCUCAGUAUUUGCUAAAAU